rnacentral:rRNA from 1 species
GACAGAGGGUGCAAACGUUGUUCGGAAUUACUGGGCGUAAAGAGCGCGUAGGCGGCGCGGUACGACCGCUGUGAAAGCCCCCAGCUCAACUGGGGAGGGUCAGCGGUAACGGCCGUGCUUUGAGUGCAGGAGAGGGAAGUGGAACUCCGGGAGUAGCGGUGAAAUGCGUAGAGACCCGGAGGAACACCAGUGGCGAAGGCGGCUUCCUGGUCUGCGACUGACGCUGUGGCGCGAAAGCUAGGGGAGCAAACGGG